rnacentral:lncRNA from 1 species
AUAUAUAUUUUCUUGAUUUACUUAGCAAGCAUACAAUAUUUAAAAGAUGAGAAGUAUGAUCAGAUAUUUAGAAUGAAUAUCAUAUUUUACUCUCUAGUCACCUUUUAUCGAAUAAGAUAAAUACCUUCACAGAUAAAGUAUUCUAUCCGACUAAAUCAUAGAUGCAAGAAGAUUUAUCAAAAAGCAAAUUUAUACAAAAAAUUCUCAUGUUGAAGAAGUUAAUUAUCCUAACAUCCAAAUAGAGCCUAAAUUGUUCCUGCUUCA